rnacentral:rRNA from 1 species
GAUGAACGCUGGCGGCGUGCCUAAUACAUGCAAGUCGAGCGAACGGAUAAGGAGCUUGCUCCUUUGAAGUUAGCGGCGGACGGGUGAGUAACACGUGGGUAACCUACCUAUAAGACUGGAAUAACUUCGGGAAACCGGAGCUAAUGCCGGAUAACAUUUGGAACCGCAUGGUUCUAAAGUAAAAGAUGGUUUUGCUAUCACUUAUAGAUGGACCCGCGCCGUAUUAGCUAGUUGGUAAGGUAACGGCUUACCAAGGCAACGAUACGUAGCCGACCUGAGAGGGUGAUCGGCCACACUGGAACUGAGACACGGUCCAGACUCCUACGGGAGGCAGCAGUAGGGAAUCUUCCGCAAUGGACGAAAGUCUGACGGAGCAACGCCGCGUGAGUGAUGAAGGUUUUCGGAUCGUAAAACUCUGUUAUUAGGGAAGAACAAAUGUGUAAGUAACUGUGCACAUCUUGACGGU